AUCUAUAGUUAUACAGCCCUGAAUGCACAGGAUCUCAUCUGAUCUUGGACACUAAACAAAGUGGGGCCUACUUAGUACUUUCGCUGGAGAAGCAAACUACAAGGACCAUGAAUU
ensembl:rRNA predicted gene, 23983